GGCAAGAUGGCCGAGCGGUUAAGGCGUGUGACUCAAGCGUAGCUUCAAGCUUAACCUUGCCUGCAUUCGCGGGUUCUCAUCAUCGAAAGAUGGCGGGGGUUCAAGUCCCCCUCUUGUCA